CUGGCCGUCCGGUGGCAGCACCGCAACAAACAUGCAAAUCAAUUUAAGGAAUUUUGAAGAAUGAAGAGGGCCGGAGACAUUGUUUCUCUUUUCCAGAGAGAAGCUAUGAAGAUAGGGAAGAAGAAGGCAAUGAAUUUGUCAAAUGUGGCCGAAGAGCAAGCCAGAGAACUUUUGUGUAUGCCGGUUGUGAUUGAAGAGCAAACUCAAGAACCAACAAUGUCUAUGUCAAAUGUGGCUGAAGAGCAAGCCGAAGAACUUGUGUGUAGGCCUUGAAAAUCUUGUUGAUCUCUAGGUUAAGCUUGUUCAAACAGGGAGACAUAUAGUUCAUCAUUUGGUGUACUUCCUUCUAAAAUUGGUAUUGAUUCUACCAGUGGCAACAACAAAUGUUGAGAGAGCAUUUUCUGCCAUGGGUAUAGUGAAGAGCAAGUUGAGAAAUAAGA